GACGAACGCUGGCGGCGUGCCUAAUACAUGCAAGUAGAACGCACAGUUUAUACCGUAGCUUGCUACACCAUAGACUGUGAGUUGCGAACGGGUGAGUAACGCGUAGGUAACCUGCCUGGUAGCGGGGGAUAACUAUUGGAAACGAUAGCUAAUACCGCAUAAUAUUAAUUAUUGCAUGAUAAUUAAUUGAAAGGUGCAAUUGCACCACUACCAGAUGGACCUGCGUUGUAUUAGCUAGUAGGUGAGGUAACGGCUCUCCUAGGCGACGAUACAUAGCCGACCUGAGAGGGUGAUCGGCCACACUGGGACUGGGGCACGGCCCAGACUCCUACGGGAGGCAGCAGUAGGGAAUCUUCGGCAAUGGACGAAAGUCUGACCGAGCAGCGCCGCGUGAGUGAAGAAGGUUUUCGGAUCGUAAAGCUCUGUUGUAAGAGAAGAACGGGUGUGAGAGUGGAAAGUUCACACUGUGACGGUAUCUAACCAGAAAGGGACGGCUAACUACGUG
rnacentral:rRNA from 1 species